AAAACCAAUCGAUCUAUCUCGCCUACGGUCGGCCGUGUUAACCCAAUCAAUUUUUCCCUACCUCCUCACAGCCAUCCCCCGUCCCCAACCAAUCCAGUCCUCCCGCACGGCCACCGGCCCCGAAGUGUUUUACUCUCUUCCACCCCUUGGUCUUUCAUCUCUUCCUCCACCUUCCACCCAUGGUUCCUUUUAUCUUCCCAAAUCAAUAAAUCUCCACCGGGGUCCUUAUGAUUCUUCUCUUCUUCCGUCUAUUUAUGCAUCUCUCCAUUUUGUGUUGUCGUCGACCUAGAGCCCUGGCCGUCGGCGCGGACUAUGCUGGCCCAAGCCCUCCGCCUUGCUGCUGAGCUGACUUCUUAUUGAACCACGCAUGACAUCCCCGACGUCCUCCUGCAGCAUCACCUGCACCAGAGGAUCUCUGGGAACGAGAGCGCCGGCCGCAGGGUGUAGUUUGGCGGCGCUGAUGGAGGCCGCAUCGAGCAUGCGCAAGUGUACUUGAUCCCAAUCAAGUAGCACCUCCGUCGUCCAAGUUAGGAUCAGGAAGAUGAGUUCACUCCAGUCGUUCUUUGUCCAGAUCUCCGCGUCUGCACUGUUCCACUGGAGGCCUGGACAUUGGGUACUGUAACGAAUAACUAGGAGGCAUGUGCUUUGCGGUUCCUAAUGCAUGCAUAUAACUGUAUAUGCAUGUUCCUAUUUUUAUCAUUUUAGUAAUCUCUUCUUGACACUCACGAUUGGUUGGUGGCAUGACGUUAUGUACAAAUUCACAAAUUCUAAAAUGUAUGCAUGAAUUGCUGCUAGAUGUGUGCAUAGUUUGUGCGUUUCCUUUGAAGGUUGUGUGAAAAAAUUGCAUUCCUGUUA